GUUUCCGUGUUCUAAUGGUUAUGAUUUGUCGUUCACAAACGUGAAUAGUUAUAUUAUUGCACAUGAUAGCCCGACAAGGUUCCCGGUUCGAUCCCGGGCGGAAACA